CAACUCGCGGACAGGGCCACAGAAACAGACCGCCGAAGGUCGUCAGACCAGGUAAGGGUGAAAAGGUGGUGUAAGAGACCACCGGCGUGCCGGGCAACCGGCGUGGCCAGGCAACCCCCGUUGGGAGCAAGGCCAAGCAGGAGGGAAGGCUGCAAAGUUGGGGAGCGACCCGCUCCCUUCCCCACAAGGGACAACCUCCGGGUAGGCCGCUAGAGGCCGGUGGUGACACCGAUCCCAGAUAGAUGACUACCGAUGACAGAAUCCGGCUUACAGACCGGCGCAAACU
rnacentral:RNase_P_RNA from 1 species